rnacentral:rRNA from 1 species
GACGGAGGGUGCAAGCGUUGUUCGGAAUUACUGGGCGUAAAGGGCGCGUAGGCGGUCUGUUAAGUUCGGUGUGAAAGCCCCCGGCUCACCUGGGGAACUGCGCCGGAAACCGACAGACUCGAGUACCGGAGAGGAGGGUGGAAUUCCUGGUGUAGCGGUGAAAUGCGUAGAUAUCAGGAGGAACACCGGUGGCGAAGGCGGCCCUCUGGACGGAUACUGACGCUGAGGCACGAAGGCCAGGGGAGCAAACGGG